CUAAACUCAAAUUCAUAUAGAUGC
rnacentral:siRNA from 1 species